CCUUCUCCAAUUUACACUUUGCCAGCGCCAUUCCCUCCUCCCUCCUCCUUCCCAAAUUUCACAAAUCACUCUACCCACUCGACGACGCAUCGACGCUCCUUAUUCCGCCAUCAAUCUACAACACCAUUGAAGACUUGUGGUUCCAGAUGUCCCUCUUGUGGAAACUGAAAUUUUGAGAAAGGAAGCUUCUAAGAAAAAGUUUGAAUUGGACUUGUGGUUCCAGAUGUUCCUCUUGAGUUUUGGUUAAUGACUAUCUCAGUGACCAUAUAGUUUUCCUAAGUUAUGUCGCAACGUAACUCAAAGCAAAAGGGUAAAAGCUUGAUGUCCCAACCUUCGACAC